UAGGGAAUAUUGGUAAUGUGCGAAAGCGCGAACCAGCAACGCCGCGUGCGCGAUGAAGGCCUUCGGGUCGUAAAGUGCUUUUAGAGAGGAUGAGGAAGGACAGUACUUUCUGAAUAAGCCUCGGCUAACUACGUGCCAGCAGCCGCGGUAAAACGUAGGAGGCUAGCGUUAUCCGGAUUUACUGGGCGUAAAGCGCAUGCAGGUGGUUUUGUAAGUUGGAUGUGAAAGCUCCUGGCUUAACUGGGAGAGGUCGUUCAAAACUACAAGACUUGAGAUUGGUAGAGGAGAAUGGAAUUCCGGGUGUAGUGGUGAAAUGCGUAGAUAUCCGGAGGAACACCAGUGGCGAAAGCGGUUUUCUGGACCAAUUCUGACACUCAGAUGCGAAAGCUAAGGUAGCAAACG
rnacentral:rRNA from 1 species